GCUUACGGCCAUACCACCCUGAGAACGCCCGAUCUCGUCUGAUCUCGGAAGCUAAGCAGGGUCGGGCCUGGUUAGUACUUGGAUGGGAGACCGCCUGGGAAUACCAGGU
ensembl:rRNA 5S_rRNA 5S ribosomal RNA